rnacentral:lncRNA from 1 species
UCCUAAUACAAGGCCUGAAGCCUGGAGAAAAGGCGCGGCAGGCUUUCCCGGAAGUCUGAGGAGGCGGAUUAGCCUCCGCCCUCCGACAUCCCGCCCCGCGCUCGCCUACUCCGCCCAGCUUCUCGUCCGCGCGCCGCCUUCGAUUCUCGCCUGCAAGUGUCGGGCCUUCCCCGUCAUCAGGUUUGCGAACGGCCCCGCCCGCUGGUUUGUCUUGGCCACCUCGGUUGGGAACCUUCCCGCAAAUCAGGCCUGAGUCAGGACCGGAAGCCCGUGAAGUGCUGAUCGGUUCCCGACAGUGAGAGCACCAAGUCACGGUACCCAUUUGGUGGGAGGGAAGUGGAGCACCGCCCAAGAAGCCUCCGGUUGGCGUCUGGGGCUGGGCACCAGGAGCUGGAAAUGACCCGGCCUUACUCCGAGGCGAGUGGUGAUCCCAUAGAUCUGAACACCUCAUAGCUCUGUGCGUGUUCCAGCUGGGUCGUGUUCACUCCAGGUCCUGAUCUCCUCUCUGAUCCUCUCAUACCAACUAUAGGCGUGCUGUUUAAAAGUGUUCUUAUGGAUGUGUCAACCAGGAAAACUCUGGUUCAACGGAGUUCAGCAGUUCUCUAAUUAAAUAGGUUUUGGGGUCUUUAAUUUGCUAAUAUAAAAAAAAAUGCUAAUAUACAUUUUUUGGUCUUUUUUAAAUUGAAGUGUAGUUGACUUACAAUGUUGUGUUAAUUUCUGCUACAUAGCAAAGUGAUUCAGUUAUACAUAAUAUAAUCUUUCUCAUAUUCUUUUCCAUUAUGAUUUACUACAAGGAUAUUGAAUAUAGUUCCCUGUGCUCUGAAUCGGAACUGUAGCUACUGGCCUACACCACAGCCACAGCAACGCCAGAUCCAAGCCGAAUCUGUGAACUACACCACAGCUCGCGGCAACACCAGAUCCUUAACCCACUGAGCAAGGCCAAGGAUCGAACGUGUGUCCUCAUGGUUACUAGUCAGGUUCAUUUCUGCUGAGCCGCAAUGGGAACUCCUGCAAAUAUUUUCUUCCAGUUCAUAUGUUGUUGUUUUGUUUAUGGUUUCCUUUGCUUUGUAAAAGUUACAGCUACAGCUCUUAUAAAUUUGAUUAGAUCCCAUUUGUUUAUUUUGCUUUUAUUUGUAUUGCCUUGGUGUACUGACCUAAGAGAAUGCUGCUGUUUAUGUCAGAGAAUGUUUUGCCUAUGUUCUCUUCUAGUUUUAUGGUAUCAUGUCUUAUAUUUAAAUCUUUAAGUCAUUUUGAGUUUAUUUUUGUGUGGGGUGUAAGGGUGUGUUCUAACUUCAUUGAUUUACUUGUGGCUAUUGAGCUUUCCCAACAGCACUUGCUGAAGAGACUUUUUCUACAUUGUAUAUUCUUGCAUCCUUUGUCAAAGAUUAAUUGACUGUAGGUGUAUGGGUUUACUUUUGGGCUCUCUAUUCUGUUCAUUUGAUUCAUAUGUUUUUUGCCAGUACUGCACUGUUUUGAUUACUAUAACUUUGUAGUAUUUUCUGAAGUCUGGGAGGGUUAUUACUCUAGGUUUAUUCUUUCCUCAGGAUUGCUUUGGCAAUUUCUGGGUAUUUUGUGGUUCCAUAUAAGUUUUAGGAUUAUUUGCUCUAGUUCUGUGGAAAAUGCCAUGGGUAAUUUGAUAGGGAUCAUGUUAAAUCUGUAAAUUUCUGGAGUUCCCAUUGUAGCACAGUGGAAAUGAAUCCAGCUAGUAUCUAUAAAGAUGCGGGUUCAAUCGCUGGCCUUGCUCAGUGGGUUAAAUGAUCCAGCGUUGCCAUGAGUGUUGUCUGUGAUGUAAGACACAGAUGCAGCUCAGAUCCCUAGUUGUUGUGGCCGUGGUGUAGGCCAGCAGCUGUAGCUUCAUUUCAACCCCUAGUCUGGGAAUUUUCAUAUGCCACAAGUGCUGCCCUAAAAAGAAAAAAAAAAAA